GAUGAACGCUGGCGGCGUGCCUAAUACAUGCAAGUCGAGCGAACAGACGAGGAGCUUGCUCCUCUGACGUUAGCGGCGGACGGGUGAGUAACACGUGGAUAACCUACCUAUAAGACUGGGAUAACUUCGGGAAACCGGAGCUAAUACCGGAUAAUAUAUUGAACCGCAUGGUUCAAUAGUGAAAGACGGUUUUGCUGUCACUUAUAGAUGGAUCCGCGCCGCUUUAGCUAGUUGGUAAGGUAACGGCUUACCAAGGCAACGAUGCGUAGCCGACCUGAGAGGGUGAUCGGCAACCCGGGACCGAGGAACGGUCCCAACCUCCGAGGGGAGGCACAGGUAGGAAUCCUUCGGCAAGGGGCGAAGGCGUAAGGGAGAAAAGCGGGGUGAGGAAGAAGGGGCUCCGGUUGGUAAACCCCGGUUAUAGGGGAAGAAAAAAUGUGUAAGUAAUUAGGACAGUAUGACGGGACCCUAAUAAGAAGCCCCGGCUAAAUUCGUG
rnacentral:rRNA from 1 species